rnacentral:rRNA from 1 species
UGGGGAAUAUUGGACAAUGGGGGGAACCCUGAUCCAGCAAUGCCGCGUGUGUGAAGAAGGCCUUCGGGUUGUAAAGCACUUUCAGCAGGGAGGAAUGCAUCAUGGUUAAUAGCCAUGGUAGUGACGUUACCUGCAGAAGAAGCACCGGCUAACUCCGUGCCAGCAGCCGCGGUAAUACGGAGGGUGCAAGCGUUAUUCGGAAUUACUGGGCGUAAAGCGCACGCAGGCGGCUACCUAAGUCAGAUGUGAAAGCCCCGGGCUUAACCUGGGAACUGCAUUUGAAACUGGGCAGCUAGAGUAUGAAAGAGGAAAGCGGAAUUUCCAGUGUAGCAGUGAAAUGCGUAGAUAUUGGAAGGAACACCGAUGGCGAAGGCAGCUUUCUGGGUCAAUACUGACGCUCAUGUGCGAAAGCGUGGGGAGCAAACA